ensembl:processed_transcript
AGCGGGACGGUGAACGGAGGAGGGUUGGCGGAGAAACCACCCGUCUCUCCUCUCGGGGCCCCAAAAAGGCGGCCUGCGGCGACCGCGCGCUGUGACUGUCCAACGCACGCUCCGCCCAUAGGCGACCCUGGCGCGACGCGUGGGAGAAAACGUUACAGUCUCUUUUUUUCCUUUUUUUUUUUUUUGUCAAUUGUGGGACAAGAGCAACGACACAAUAACGUCAUUUGAAUGCAGUCUCCUGUGUGCCGCGCCUUUGCUGUCACCCAAAGCCCAUCAUUGAAACACAUGUAGUCCUUAAAUCCUUUGCUGGUAUUCUUGGCUUUUGUCCCUGCCCUUGCAGUAGCCGCCCUAUCCUGCCUGGGUUUUCAUCUUUCCAACUACAGCCUCUUUCUCCCAAAAUCCACAUGUUUUGUCUGUUUUCUAAUCUUGGCUUCUGUUUGAAACGAACUGCAAGCCUUUAAACAUGUCUGUGGGUUCCCUCCACCUCCAUAGAUUCGGAAGCAAUUGGUCUUUCGUGAUGUCUGGGCUUCGAAAGUUUUUUUGUGUGCGUUUAUUUUUGUUUUUUGCUUAGUAACCUAGCGAUUCUCACGCACAAGUCACGGAAAAAUUAACUGUUAAAAGCGUCUAUUUUUGUGACCCUACCUAAACAUCGUUUUGCAGCUUCAUCUCUCGCAGGUGUAACAGAUGCUCAUGCUGAUCGUAAGGCCCAAGGAGACUUUUCAGCACAGCCUCUGAAGCAGUGGCAUUGGCAGCAUCUCCUCUGCUCUCUGGGAACCAGUUGGCAACCUCUGGAAGCAUUUUUCAUUGUCAGUGUUUCCUGAGCCUUAUAUGUUUGGAGUGUUUGCUAUAAACUGGGACUGGGCUCCACAACUCUAUGGACUGGUUGGGCUCUGAACCAUCUCAUGGUCAUUAAGUGAAUCUGUCGCCUGGGAACCAAAUGACUGGGAAGAGAAAGGCCAUCCAUAGGGCUGGUGCUGAAGCAUUGGUUCUACAGCGUUUCCAGCCCAUUGACCACUCCACCACAUUCAGUUAUCAGAACCAGUCUCAGCCAAGAGGUGGAUUGUGAUGGUGCCUGCCUUCAAUCCCAGCACUUGGCAGGCAGAUCUCUAUGAGGAGUUUAAGACCAGCCUGGGCUACAUACUGAGACCCUGUCUCAAAACAAACAAAAGUGGACUUGGCUUUGGUUUCCAGCUUCCCUUUCUUCAAACUUCCUCAAGGCCACUGUCUCCCUCUUCUCCAGGAGAAAAUGGAUCUUCAUCUCCUUGUAUCUUGCUCUCCUUUUAUACCCAUGCUGACUAAAUUUUUCGCCAGCUUGACAUAAACUAGAGUUAUCUGAGAGGAUGUGUUCCAGGUCCCCAGACCUCUAGCAUAACUCAUAGAAGUACAAUACAGCUCAUAGAAUCCAGCAUGUAGAAAGCACCACUAGCCAAAACAAUAACCAAAAGCUAAUCCAUCGAAGUUCUUAAAUGUACUGACCUUGCAAAUAUUGCCUUCUAUAGUUCUGCUUCUGGCUAACUGUUCUUGUUAACUGAACUAUGUCAACCAAGAUCAUGGUUUUUGUGCUUCUAAAAGCUCACCCUAAGAAAGGCUCAGUGCUACACUGGGACCCUGAACACCCAGUAUACUUGCUGGCCAGAUAAUAAAGACCUUUUAUUGGCUU